rnacentral:lncRNA from 1 species
GCCCUCCUCCUGGCCCCCGCCCGUCUCCUCGGAGCUGGCCCGAGGGCGGGGCGCGCAAAACCCCUUGAGCGCGUCGUCCUGCACCGUCCUGGCCCAGGACUUUAGCUGCCGGAUCGCUCCGGAGCCGAGGACCUCCCCGCGCCCCCCGCCGUCUGGGCCUCCAGGGCCGCCAAGCGAGGGUUCACAGCUGCCCGCACAUCCCGGGUCUCCCCCGCCCCAUUCUAGCCGCCCAGUUUGCCCCCUUCGGGCGAAAGUGAGGAUAAGCUGACGCUUUCCCUCAACUUCUCUGGGAGAGAGAGCCGGAGCCCCACACACUGGCUUCAGUGUCCCAGAACACUCAGCAGGAGGAGAGAACGAUUUAAGAAACAAUUUGGUUCGAAAGGCCAUGGUGAAAAUCAGCCAUUUGUACAGCUGAGACGUGGUUGUGUUUAACCCAGAGGACCUCGCUUUCAGGGAAAAAAGAAAAAGAAGAAAAAAACCUGAUGCGGCCUUUCAGACAGCGCCAAUGAGAAGAAUGUGUGAUUGGAAGCCCCGAGAACCAGCACAGGUCUUUUAAAUAUUAGAGAGAGAGUGGCGUGGCCGGGAGGAUCCCUAGCCCACAGGAGUGAGUCUGGCAGCUCCUGAAGUUUGGGGUACUCAGAAUCGGGGGGGGGGGGGGUAAUGACACAAGACCUGAAAAGAUCAUCUCAGUCAUCUCCCACGCUGGAGGAUUUGAGGAUGCACAGUCUCUUCCAAAACCAGGGCCAGGAGGAGUGGGAGGAGCUUUCUCAAGGGAGAAGAAGCAUAAGGAGAGACAAGAGUCUCUCUCCACCCCACAUACUUCCCAUAAACCACAGUGUCAGGCUCUAAAAGUAUCCCUGAUGCUCUAAAGUCAACUGAGAAACCAGUUCCAGGGGUUAAAACUUGUCUGAGAUAACAACUAAAUUCUAUUUGAUUUCCCACUAUUGGUCAUCUGCUGGGAAUGAGGCAUAAGCCCAGCUCUGUCACAUGGAGGAAAAACAUGAUGCAAUUAACCAAGUUGCUAGUGCAUCAUCUCAUCCUGACCUCUGCCACCAGCCUCCAUCCAGGCCAUCCCCUGCAAUCCCACACAGCCAGCUGGGCCCCUGGGGGCCAUCCCAGCCCUCCUCCUGGGUUCCCUUCCCAGGUCCAACUGAGGAUCUUCGUGUGAAGCUCACCUCAGGUACCUAUGUCUGAAUCCCACCAGCAGUGCAAAGACCCUUCCUGGAGGGGAAAGCUCAAGUGGGACUUGCAAUUAAGUCAACAAAUUGUUUCCUUCAACAACCCUGAAUCACAGCUCACCCAGGGACUACCUCAUCAGAGUUCCCAAGCUCAGGAGAUUCCCCUCAUCUGCUGUCAGACUUGGUGGUUGGUCAUCUUUCCACUGAUCCUGCCCAUAUUGCUACAGGCAUGUGCUCCUUUUUCAAAGUGAUGGAAAAUACAAGAAAC